rnacentral:rRNA from 1 species
AAGCUCGUAGUUGAAUUUCGGGGUUAGUAGGUUGGUCAUGCCUCUGGUAUGUACUGGUCUCACUGAUUCCUCCUUCCUUAUGAACCGUAAUGCCAUUAAUUUGGUGUUGCGGGGAAUUUGGACUGUUACUUUGAAAAAAUUAGAGUGUUUAAAGCAAGCUAACGCUUGAAUAUAUUAGCAUGGAAUAAUGAAAUAGGACGUUCGAUCUUAUUUUGUUGGUUUUCUAGGAUUGACGUAAUGAUUAAUAGGGAUAGUUGGG